rnacentral:rRNA from 1 species
UGGCUCAGGAUGAACGCUGGCGGUAUGCUUAACACAUGCAAGUCGAACGAACUCUUCGGAGUUAGUGGCGGACGGGUGAGUAACGGGUGAGAAUCUACCUCAAGGACGGGGACAACAGCAGGAAACUGGUGCUAAUACCCGAUAAGCUGAAAAGUGAAAGAUUUAUUGCCGAGAGAGGAGCUCGCGUCCGAUUAGCUAGUUGGAAGGGUAAAAGCCUACCAAGGCGACGAUCGGUAGCUGGUCUGAGAGGAUGAGCAGCCACACUGGGACUGAGACACGGCCCAGACUCCUACGGGAGGCAGCAGUGGGGAAUUUUCCGCAAUGGGCGAAAGCCUGACGGAGCAAUACCGCGUGAGGGAAGAAGGCUUUUGGGUUGUAAACCUCUUUUGUCAGGGAAGAAGAAUUGACGGUACCUGAAGAAAAAGCAUCGGCUAACUCCGUGCCAGCAGCCGCGGUAAUACGGAGGAUGCAAGCGUUAUCCGGAAUCAUUGGGCGUAAAGGGUCCGCAGGUGGCGAAUAAAGUCUGCUGUUAAAGACCGGGGCUUAACUCCGGAAAGGCAGUGGAAACUGAUUAGCUAGAGUACGGUAGGGGUAGAGGGAAUUCCCAGUGUAGCGGUGAAAUGCGUAGAUAUUGGGAAGAACACCGGUGGCGAAAGCGCUCUACUAGGCCGAAACUGACACUGAGGGACGAAAGCUAGGGUAGCGAAAGGGAUUAGAUACCCCUGUAGUCUUAGCGGGUAAACGAUGGAUGACUACGUGAUAAGCUUGUAUCGACCCGAGCUGUGCCGAAGCUAACGCGAUAAGUAUCCCGCCUGGGGAGUACGCACGCAAGUGUGAAACUCAAAGGAAUUGACGGGGGCCCGCACAAGCGGUGGAGUAUGUGGUUUAAUUCGAUGCAACGCGAAGAACCUUACCAGGGCUUGACAUGUCGCGAAUCUAGCGGAAACGUUAGAGUGCCUUAGGGAAUGCGAACACAGGUGGUGCAUGGCUGUCGUCAGCUCGUGUCGUGAGAUGUUGGGUUAAGUCCCGCAACGAGCGCAACCCUCGUCCUUAGUUGCCAAUAUUAAGUUAGGCACUCUAGGGAGACUGCCGGGGACAACUCGGAGGAAGGUGGGGAUGACGUCAAGUCAGCAUGCCCCUUACGUCCUGGGCGACACACGUACUACAAUGGUUGGGACAAAGGGCAGCAAGCUCGCGAGAGUAAGCGAAUCUCAUCAAACCCAGCCAAAGUUCAAAUUGCAGGCUGCAACUCGCCUGCAUGAAGUAGGAAUCGCUAGUAAUCGCAGGUCAGCAUACUGCGGUGAAUUCGUUCCCGGGCCUUGUACACACCGCCCGUCACACCAUGGAAGCUGGCUACGCCCGAAGUCGUUACCCUAACCCUAAGGGGAGGGGGAUGCCGAAGGUAGAGCUAGUGACUGGGGUGA